AUUGAACGCUGGCGGCAGGCCUAACACAUGCAAGUCGAGCGGAUGAGUGGAGCUUGCUCCAUGAUUCAGCGGCGGACGGGUGAGUAAUGCCUAGGAAUCUGCCUGGUAGUGGGGGACAACGUUUCGAAAGGAACGCUAAUACCGCAUACGUCCUACGGGAGAAAGUGGGGGAUCUUCGGACCUCACGCUAUCAGAUGAGCCUAGGUCGGAUUAGCUAGUUGGUGAGGUAAAGGCUCACCAAGGCGACGAUCCGUAACUGGUCUGCGAGGAUGAGCGAUCAUACUGGAAUUAAGACACGGUCCAGACUCCUACGGGAGGCAGAAGUGGGGAAUAUUGGACAAUGGGCGAAGGCCUGAUUCAGCCAUGCCGCGUGAGUGAAGAAGGUCUUCGGAUUGUAAAGCACUUUAAGUUGGGAGGAAGGGCAGUAAGUUAAUACCUUGCUGUUUUGACGUUACCAACAGAAUAAGCACCGGCUAACCUCGUGCCAGCCGCCGCUGUAACAC
rnacentral:rRNA from 1 species